CCUACGGGAGGCAGCAGUGGGGGAUAUUGCACAAUGGGGGGAACCCUGAUGCAGCGACGCCGCGUGGGUGAAGGAGUAUUUCGGUAUGUAAAGCCCUAUCGGCAGGGAAGAAUUUAGACGGUACCUGACUAAGUAGCCCCGGCUAACUACGUGCCAGCAGCCGCGGUAAUACGUAGGGGGCAAGCGUUAUCCGGAUUCACUGGGUGUAAAGGGAGCGUAGACGGCCAGGCAAGCCUGGAGUGAAAGCCCGGGGCCCAACCCCGGGACUGCUCUGGGAACUGUCCGGCUGGAGUGCGGGAGGGGCAGGCGGAAUUCCUGGUGUAGCGGUGAAAUGCGUAGAUAUCAGGAGGAACACCAGUGGCGAAGGCGGCUUACUGGACUGUAACUGACGUUGAGGCUCGAAAGCGUGGGGAGCAAACAGGAUUAGAUACCCCAGUAGUC
rnacentral:rRNA from 1 species